UGACUAACAGUCACCGCCUGGGAGCAUGGCAAGGGCCAAAAGAGAGCUGUCUCUAGAAUGAAGGCAUUCACAGUGAUCAGCCUGGGCACCGAGGACCUGGGAUAGACACAGUGUGGCUGGAGUCAGGGGUGUGUUCAAGGUAGCAGCAGGAGGUGGGGACACGCCCAGUGAGGGGAAGACUAUAAAGGAUUUGUGUGCUGUGGAGCAUGGGCUUGGGACCCUCCAUUACACUGGCCUCGCCUUUAGGUGCUUGAAUUCAUGCACCCCUUCCUGCCCCCAGGGCUCAACGGAAGCUGUUCUAUCAAGAAAGUUCUCAAUCCCACUCUUCUGUUAGCUGGCUCCUUCUCAAGCUUGUGAUCCCAGCCCUGGGUCACCUCCUUAGAACCCCCUGAACACCUUAUCUAAAAGGUAGCAGCCCUGCCUGUGCUGAUAUUCUUCAUAACGCUUUUAAAGGCAGUAAUCAUUUUA